rnacentral:tRNA from 1 species
AAGGCUUUAAGUUAAAAAAACUUUUAGCCUUCAAAGCUAAGUAUAAAAUUAUAUUUUUAAGUCUUA